GGCCUAACACAUGCAAGUCGAGCGGAUGAGAGGAGCUUGCUCCUUGAUUUAGCGGCGGACGGGUGAGUAAUGCCUAGGAAUCUGCCUGGUAGUGGGGGAUAACGUCCGGAAACGGGCGCUAAUACCGCAUACGUCCUACGGGAGAAAGCAGGGGACCUUCGGGCCUUGCGCUAUCAGAUGAGCCUAGGUCGGAUUAGCUAGUUGGUGAGGUAAUGGCUCACCAAGGCGACGAUCCGUAACUGGUCUGAGAGGAUGAUCAGUCACACUGGAACUGAGACACGGUCCAGACUCCUACGGGAGGCAGCAGUGGGGAAUAUUGGACAAUGGGCGAAAGCCUGAUCCAGCCAUGCCGCGUGUGUGAAGAAGGUCUUCGGAUUGUAAAGCACUUUAAGUUGGGAGGAAGGGCAGUAAGUUAAUACCUUGCUGUUUUGACGUUACCGACAGAAUAAGCACCGGCUAACUUCGUGCCAGCAGCCGCGGUAAUACGAAGGGUGCAAGCGUUAAUCGGAAUUACUGGGCGUAAAGCGCGCGUAGGUGGUUCGUUAAGUUGGAUGUGAAAGCCCCGGGCUCAACCUGGGAACUGCAUCCAAAACUGGCGAGCUAGAGUACGGUAGAAGGUGGUGGAAUUUCCUGUGUAGCGGUGAAAUGCGUAAAUUAGGAGGAACACCAGUGGCGAAG
rnacentral:rRNA from 1 species